AUUAGAUUUACCUGACAGAUCACAGUUAUAUUGUUGUACGGCCAAUAAGUGGAAGGUAAGUUGUUGUAAUCUUCAUUCAAUGCUCGAACAUUAGGUAGCAAUAUACAGUUAGGAUAAAGAAAUUAAAAUUUACCCUCAUUGAUUUUAUCAUUCCUUUGUCCUUGCUUUGUUACAUAUUAAGCUUACUGUUUGUGUCAUUUAUGUCCAUAUGUAUGUACUCAGUAUCUUCAAUAAACUUGAUUUCUAGUAGUUGUAAUAGUUAAAUAUAUUUUUAGUUGCUGUAUCCAUGACAACACUCUGUAUUUAUUUGCUAUAUCGUAUUGCAAAAAAGGGUGUGAAGAUGUAACGUAUUUUCAAAAUAAUUGACUAAAAGUAAAAUUUCAUUUCCCUGGAGUUUACCUUUUCUAAAACUGUUUAUAUGUAGCUAUCAAAUAAAAUCAUAUGUCUUUCGUCUCAUUUGUUUUUUUUAUAAUAUUACGUCAAAAAGUUCGUUUGAAAAAAAAAGUAUUUGUAAACAUUACAAUCAUUUCUGGUGUGAAUAUGAAAAUAUGGACUGUGAAACAGAAAAUAGCACAUAAAAUAUGUAAAAAACAACCCAGAUGUUCAUAUAAGCCCACCUUGAAGACUAAAAUAGUCAUCAGCUGGCUGUCUACAAAUGAAUUUGAUUUCGCAAUAACUUACAUAUUUGAAAAUUCCACCGGGGCCAAAAUGCGUAACCACACUCCUCACUGUGUAUUGCUACCUUAAUCAAACUACAUUUUUGAAAGCGAAUGUUAACUCUGCUUAUAUAACGUUGUUACACAUGUCCCGUGUUUAGAUGUUUUGUGACGGUGAAUGUUUACUUUGCUUUUAAAACAUUGUUUUGAGUGAUUUAAAAUUCAGGCAUGUUCAGUCAUGCAAAGGCAAUCUAUUUAUGAUCUGACCAAGAAGAUAUUCUCAAAGCUCUCUCUCUUUGUCCGAGUAAUAUUGCAAUCGUCGUAGUCAAUAUUUACCUUCUUCGGUCUGAUAAUACCCUCUGAUCAUUUUUAAGCACAAGCAGAUAAUCUUUUUGAUGUCAUCUUUAAAGCUGCUUCUGAUAAUGCAACAACAAAACACACAUGGUUGCUAUUAGCAUAAAUAAAACGAAGUGUAAAAUACAAAUUUCGAUUAUUUUCUCGGUCUAUAUGAAGAUCAUGUAGGUCAACUACUUUCAAUGCAUCAUUCAAAUAGAGUGAUUGAUGAAACUACCUAUUUAAUCUGACAAAUUUGACUCUAUUUCAUAUUGUUUAUGAAUUUGGUGACGUCUUAUGGUUAGAAUAGAGUCAAUUACCAAUCGGAUACUGCGUGAUGCCUAGUCACUUAAUAUACUAAAAACGUGUAACAUAUUUUAUAUGAGUGAAACGACGGAUGUCAUAUGUGGAGCAUAUGAUGGAAGAAACUGACCUAUUAACAAGAUGUCAGAACAGUGUAACUAGCAUGGUGCUUGUUGUGGACAUCAAAUAUGUUUGGUUGUACCUGGUUUUGUACAUUGAUUGAUAUGAUAUAGACUUCAUAGUACUAUAAUAUCAAUGGAUCUUGUAUAUUGCUUGUGGUGAAAUAUUAAGCACAUAGGACCAAUCCCGAAUUACAAUAACCCAAUGAAUUAUUUUUUAAUUAUCUAAAACAAUGCAUGUUAUAAAACUGGGCAUUUGUUUUGUCUUUUAUAGUUCGAAGAUGAGGCUGCUGUUGGUUUUCAUGAUAUGCUUAACAUGUUUACAAGCUGAAGAUGCAAAACAAAAAAAAUCGACUACCACCGAUCAUAUAACCAGCGGUCUAAAUGCUGGCAAGGGCAUUGCUGCAGCCGUUGCAGUUUCGACUGCACUUCCUACUGCACUAACAGCAGUUGCAGCAAGUGUUGUACCUUUUCUAGGAGUAAUUGCUCCGUUUUUAUCCUUUAUUUUUGGAUUUAUUCAUAAAGGACCGUCGCCGGAAUUACUUGCUAUUCGGAAACUCCAUAAAGAUAUUGAUACUAGGUUCGAUCAAGUAGACGCUAAAUUUGCUGAUGUGAAAAGGCUGAUAAACUGGAGUACUGUAAAGGUACAGUUUUCUGAUAUUGAGCAAAAAAUUAACGCCGUUUACCGCAUAUAUAAAGAAAUGUACCAAGCACCAAGCAAUGCUCUUAACGGAGAGAAAAAGUUAUUUAUCAGCAAUUAUGAUAGUGAUUUCCAGAAUAGUGGCAUCAAACUGUACGACGGAGUAAUGAAUGCAGGAAACGUCUUCGGAGAAGGAUUGUUAGUUCCUUGUAUGAAAUAUACCCAGUAUGAUCGCAGACGAUGUGGAGCAUUCAGUUCAGGGAUACUUAAAUUGUUACUAAGGGCAGCUGAACUUGAAGUUGCAUAUUUGCAACUAAAAGGUCUAAGUGCAAACGUAGACUAUCACACAAAGCAAUGGAAAUCUCGUUUUGACCAUGUUCGAUCUGCAAUGAGUCAUGCUGAUGCAACAAUAGCUGCAAAAUAUCACGAUCAAUCAACCAUUGAUAUUGACAGAUAUGCACUAGAUCAUCCAGGGAAUAAAAUGAACAAUCAUGACUGGGCUAAUAACAUGUAUAACUUCCUUACCCAAAAAUACUAUUGGAGGGACUGGAUGGUCAUCUCUUACAAAGACGUUACUGGAGGUGAUGUCCAUUGGAAUAAAGCAUGUGGCGGUUAUUCUAAAUUUAGGAACCAUGGCCGGAACUUUGUAGUAGCGAGUGUUGAUAAGAAGACACGUCAUUUAGACAUGACUAAAGCUAAAGCUGUUGUUAAUGCGGUACAUGAUCAUACCACAAGUAAAGGCCACUGCCGACCACACUGCGGAACGAUUUACCACAGAAUAGAUUCUCAUUCAGCCUAUGAAACGUUCCCUACCGAGGCGAAAGAUCACUGCUCGCCCUAUGUGGCAAUUGGUGUAAUCGACAAUGGCGCGGCACCAACGUAUAAGGCACCAUCAAGCCGCCUCGUUCUAAGGAAUGAUAAAUAUAACCACAUUCACGUUUUUGGAUGAACGGGUGUUCUACAAUAAAGUUAUGCAAUUGACGUAUU
rnacentral:lncRNA from 1 species